rnacentral:rRNA from 1 species
GACGAACGCUGGCUGCGUGCUUAACACAUGCAAGUCGAACGCUGAAGCCUGGUGCUUGCACCGGGUGGAUGAGUGGCGAACGGGUGAGUAACACGUGAGUAACCUGCCCCUGACUUCGGGAUAAGCCCGGGAAACUGGGUCUAAUACCGGAUACGACUGCCGGACGCAUGUCUGGUGGUGGAAAGUUUUUUUCGGUUGGGGAUGGGCUCGCGGCCUAUCAGUUUGUUGGUGAGGUAAUGGCUCACCAAGACGACGACGGGUAGCCGGCCUGAGAGGGCGACCGGCCACACUGGGACUGAGACACGGCCCAGACUCCUACGGGAGGCAGCAGUGGGGAAUAUUGCACAAUGGGGGAAACCCUGAUGCAGCGACGCAGCGUGCGGGAUGACGGCCUUCGGGUUGUAAACCGCUUUCAGCAGGGAAGAAGCGCAAGUGACGGUACCUGCAGAAGAAGUACCGGCUAACUACGUGCCAGCAGCCGCCGUAACAC